rnacentral:lncRNA from 1 species
AAAUAGCUUGAAAGAGGGUGGCUAUGGUUGUUGUUGUAGGAAAAUGGAAGAGAAGGAAGUUGUAUGUUUAUAUGGUGGUGGUGAAUAAUUAUGUAAGUGAAGGUUACAAGUUUUCUACUGUUUUUGUUGUGUGGAGAUGGUGGAUUUUUACAUGGUGGUUGGGUGGUUCAAAGAAGAAAAGAGGGUUUGGGUGAGUUAGGGUUUAGGUUGAAAAGAG